rnacentral:rRNA from 1 species
GCUCAACCGGGGAGGGUCAUUGGAAACUGGGGAACUUGAGUGCAGAAGAGGAGAGUGGAAUUCCACGUGUAGCGGUGAAAUGCGUAGAGAUGUGGAGGAACACCAGUGGCGAAGGCGACUCUCUGGUCUGUAACUGACGCUGAGGCGCGAAAGCGUGGGGAGCGAACAGGAUUAGAUACCCUGGUAGUCCACGCCGUAAACGGUGAGUGCUAAGUGUUAGAGGGUUUCCGCCCUUUAGUGCUGCAGCAAACGCAUUAAGCACUCCGCCUGGGGAGUACGGUCGCAAGACUGAAACUCAAAGGAAUUGACGGGGGCCCGCACAAGCGGUGGAGCAUGUGGUUUAAUUCGAAGCAACGCGAAGAACCUUACCAGGUCUUGACAUCCUCUGACAACCCUAGAGAUAGGGCUUCCCCUUCGGGGGCAGAGUGACAGGUGGUGCAUGGUUGUCGUCAGCUCGUGUCGUGAGAUGUUGGGUUAAGUCCCGCAACGAGCGCAACCCUUGAUCUUAGUUGCCAGCAUUCAGUUGGGCACUCUAAGGUGACUGCCGGUGACAAACCGGAGGAAGGUGGGGAUGACGUUAAAUCAUCAUGCCCCUUAUGACCUGGGCUACACACGUGCUACAAUGGGCAGAACAAAG